AGCGACUUAUAUUCUGUAGCAAGGUUAACCGUAUAGGGGAGCCGGAGGGAAACCGAGUCUUAACCGGGCGUUAAGUUGCAGGGUAUAGACCCGAAACCCGGUGAUCUAGCCAUGGGCAGGUUGAAGGUUGGGUAACACUAACUGGAGGACCGAACCGACUAAUGUUGAAAAAUUAGCGGAUGACCUGUGGCUGGGGGUGAAAGGCCAAUCAAACCGGGAGAUAGCUGGUUCUCCCCGAAAGCUAUUUAGGUAGCGCCUCGUGAAUUCAUCUCCGGGGGUAGAGCACUGUUUCGGCUAGGGGGCCAUCCCGGCUUACCAACCCGAUGCAAACUGCGAAUACCGGAGAAUGUUAUCACGGGAGACACACGGCGGGUGCUAACGUCCGUCGUGAAGAGGGAAACAACCCAGACCGCCAGCUAAGGUCCCAAAGUCAUGGUUAAGUGGGAAACGAUGUGGGAAGGCCCAGACAGCCAGGAUGUUGGCUUAGAAGCAGCCAUCAUUUAAAGAAAGCGUAAUAGCUCACUGGUCGAGUCGGCCUGCGCGGAAGAUGUAACGGGGCUAAACCAUGCACCGAAGCUGCGGCAGCGAACGUAUCACCCAAGACAACUUUACGGAGUUGACGAUUGACGGAGCGAAGCGACGUCAAAGCGUUCAUUAAAGUCGAGUUGGCUUAGGGAUACGUUCGUUGGGUAGGGGAGCGUUCUGUAAGCCUGUGAAGGUGUGUCGUGAGGCAUGCUGGAGGUAUCAGAAGUGCGAAUGCUGACAUAAGUAACGAUAAAGCGGGUGAAAAGCCCGCUCGCCGGAAGACCAAGGGUUCCUGUCCAACGUUAAUCGGGGCAGGGUGAGUCGACCCCUAAGGCGAGGCCGAAAGGCGUAGUCGAUGGGAAACGGGUUAAUAUUCCCGUACUUGGUGUUACUGCGAAGGGGGGACGGAGAAGGCUAUGUUGGCCGGGCGACGGUUGUCCCGGUUUAAGCGUGUAGGUGUGUGUUCCAGGUAAAUCCGGUUCACUUUAACACUGAGGCGUGACGACGAGGCACUACGGUGCUGAAGCAACAAAUGCCCUGCUUCCAGGAAAAGCCUCUAAGCAUCAGGUAACAC
rnacentral:rRNA from 1 species